rnacentral:lncRNA from 1 species
AUGAAAGUGCUGCCCUCAAUAUGCCAGCAAAUCUGGAAAACUCAGCAGUGGCCACAGGACUGGAAAAGGUCAGUUUUCAUUCCAAUCCCAAAGAAAGCCAAUGCCAAAGAAUGCUCAAACUACUGCACAAUUGCACUCAUCUCACAUGCUAGUAAAGUAAUGCUCAAAAUUCUCCAAACCAGGCUUCAGCAAUACAUGAACCAUGAACUUCCAGAUGUUCAAGCUGGACUUAGACAAGGCAAAGGAACCAGAGAUCAAAUUGCCAACAUCUGCUGGAUCAUGGAAAAAGCAAGAGAGUUCCAGAAAAACAUCUAUUUCUGCUUUAUUGACUAUAUCAAAGCCCUUGACUGUGUGGAUCACAAUAAACUGUGGAAAAUUCUGAAAGAGAUGGGAAUACCAGACCACCUGACCCGCCUCUUGAGAAACCUGUAUGCAGGUCAGGAAGCAACAGUUAGAACUGGACAUGGAACAGCAGACUGGUUCCAAAUAGGAAAAGGAGUACGUCAAGGCUGUAUAUUUUCACCCUGCUUAUUUAACUUCUAUGCAGAGUACAUCAUGAGAAACUCUGGGCUGGAAGAAGCACAAGCUGGAAUCAAGAUUGCUGGGAGAAAUAUCAAUCACCUCAGAUAUGCAGAUGACACCACCCUUAUGGCAGAAAGUGAAGAACUAAAGAGCCCCUUGAUAAAAGUGAAAGAGGAGAGUGAAAAAGUUGGCUUAAAGCUCAACAUUCAGAAAACUGAGAUCAUGGCAUCUGGUCCCAUCACUUCAUGGGAAAUAGAUGGGGAAACAGUGUCAGAUUUUAUUUUCUUGGGCUCCAAAAUCACUGCAGAUGGUGCCUGCAGCCAUGAAAUUAAAAGACGCUUACUCCUUGGCUGGAAAGUUAUGACCAACCUAGAUAGCAUAUUAAAAAGCAAAGACAUUACUUUGCCAGCAAAGGUCUAUCUAGUCAAGGCUGUGGUUUUUCCAGUAGUCAUGUAUGGAUGUGAGAGUUGGACUAUAAAGAAAGCUAGCACCGAAGAAUUGAUGCUUUUGAACUGUGGUGUUGGAGAAGACUCUCAAGAGUCCCUUGGACUGCAAGGAGAUCCAAUCAGUCCAUCCUAA